rnacentral:rRNA from 1 species
CCUACGGGUGGCAGCAGUGAGGGAUAUUGGUCAAUGGGGGAAACCCUGAACCAGCAACGCCGCGUGAGGGAAGACGGUUUUCGGAUUGUAAACCUCUGUCCUCUGUGAAGAUAAUGACGGUACCUGAGUAAGAAGCACCGUCUAAAUACGUUCCAGCAGCCGCGGUAAUACGUAGGGUGCAGGCGUUAUCCGGAUUUACUGGGUGUAAAGGGAGCGCAGGCGGAACGGCAAGCCUGAUGUGAAAGCCCGCGGCCCAACCGGGGGACUGCAUUGGGAACUACCGGGCUGGAGUGCCGGAGAGGUAGGCGGAAUUCCUAGUGUAGCGGUGAAAUGCGUAGAUAUUAGGAGGAACACCAGUGGCGAAGGCGGUCUACUGGACGGUGACUGACGCUGAGGCUCGAAAGCGUGGGGAGCAAACAGGAUUAGAUACCCUAGUAGUC